ensembl:lncRNA
CUGAGAAUGUAACAUAACUGUCAUUUCUAGGAAAUCAGGGAAAUUCUGCUUCAGAGACAGCAACAAGGGAAGAAUUGAAACUUCUCAAGGUUAAAAGGAUCGUUUCCAGAAUGUGAAGUGGGUAAUCAAGAAGCAUUACAGGUCACUGUUCAAGCACUAAGGAGAGGCUCUAGGUGUGAGAACGAGUGCGACAACAACAAAGAGAAGAAGCAAAUACUUUACUGGAAAACAAAAGAAAAAAAAAAAGUACUAUGAACAGAAAGAAAACAACAACAACAACAACAACAAAACAUUAGGAAUCAUUACACUGUUUGGUUCUCCCCACACAUUCUUCUUAUCUACGACGCAGAGAUCAAACCAUCUACAAGACAUUCUAUCUCAAGAAUCUACCUCUAGAAUCUGCAGUUUGUGUCUGUCUACUGAGCAUAUUCUGAGCAUUUUACAGAACCUCCAGAUGUCUUGACAUGCAUGAGACUUGGUUCCUGUUGUCUAAAAUAAUGCCUUUUCUAGCAUCACCAGCUGUUGCCUGAGGAAGUACUGUGAGCCUCUCUACCUCUAGCCCUGGUGUGCUUAGGCUGCCUGAAAAGUGAAGUAAUGGAGCCGUAUGUUGUUACAAAGAAUUUGUGCAGGCCCGACAUUUUGCUAAACUUCUCUCCUAGGUUCUGCGCUAGCUCUGUUUCCUUGCUAUUAUUGGUACCAUUAAACUAG